rnacentral:ncRNA from 1 species
UAAACUCGCACGCACUCUGGUGCUCGCGUGCGCUCUCUGCGCGCGCAGUUAAACGGGAAAUAGCGGGCCGUGCGCACAGCCGCCGGCCAAACUAUGCUGCUCCCCGCAACGGUAGGUGAAGGCAUCGCGCAGACGAUGCAGAGCCGGCCUCGCUGCAUGUGCGUCCAAUAGCGGCCCAUGCAGACAAUCCACUGCGCGAAAACGCUCGCGCGGGAAGGAGAGGCGGCGCUUUCAUCAGCCCGGAUACCGGCCCGAGAAAACGACGCCAUG